rnacentral:rRNA from 1 species
UACGUAGGUGGCAAGCGUUGUCCGGAUUUAUUGGGCGUAAAGAGCGCGUAGGCGGCCUGACAGGUCUGCUGUGAAAACUCGAGGCUCAACCUCGAGAUGUCGGCGGAAACCGUCUGGCUAGAGUCCGGAAGAGGAGAGUGGAAUUCCUGGUGUAGCGGUGAAAUGCGUAGAUAUCGGGAGGAACACCAGUGGCGAAGGCGACUACCUGGCCUGUUCUUGACGCUGAGGCGCGAAAGCUAGGGGAGCAAACGGG